AGAUGGUCUGAAGAGAAAAGCUUUUCCUCACAUGGAGUGUCUCCACAGGGCUGGAGAUCUUGAAGAAUAAGGCUCCACCUGUACCACACUGACUUGUCCUCAGCCUGUCUUUGAUGUGAAGACAGUGACACAGUGGGUUGGAUCUGAGGCGCAUAAAUGCAUCCUACAUAGCAGCCAUGUGGCUCUGUUUAGAAGACUGAAGAUUUCCACCUCUCCUUACAGGAACUGCUCUUGGAGGGGGCUUUGAUGUUAUAAAUCAGCAGAGAGGAGGAGAGUGGCUUGCCAGAUUCUGUGCAGUUUGUGUGUCGGCAUGAGAACCCUCGCUCACCUCAUUCUAACAUGCAAGGAAGAGGAAAUACAAGUACAGUGGUGCCUCGCAUUACGACUGUUACGAUUUUUAAGGAAAAAAUCCAGAAAACUUGCAUUCCAGUCUCCUGGAGCUGCUGCCAGAUGAAUGUGGAAAUGGGAUGGAAGAAAAUUUGAGUGAGCACAUUCAAAAGGAAAUCCUGAGAUGUCUGCCUUCAAUCCAAAAUGAUUAAUAGCUUGAAACU